rnacentral:rRNA from 1 species
UGAAUACGAGACGCUACGGCGUCGAAGUAGUGUAUGUCAUACUUCCAAGAAAAGCUCGCACUGUCAUAGGUAAAAAAUGCCUGUACCAUAACCGACACAGGUGGGUAGGUAGAGUAUACUAAGGGGCGCGAGAUAACUCUCUCUAAGGAACUCGGCAAAAUGACUCCGUAACUUCGGGAGAAGGAGUGCCUUAUUUAUAAGGUUGCAAUAACAAGAUCCAAGCAACUGUUUACCAAAAACACAGGUCUCCGCUAAGUCGUAAGACGAUGUAUGGGGGCUGACGCCUGCCCAGUGCCAGAAGGUUAAAGAAGUUGGUUAGCAUUAGCGAAGCUGAUAACUGAAGCCCUGGUGAACGGCGGCCGUAACUAUAACGGUCCUAAGGUAGCGAAAUUCCUUGUCGGGUAAGUUCCGACCCGCACGAAAGGCGUAAUGAUUUGGAUACUGUCUCGGAGAGAGGCUCGGUGAAAUAGACUUGUCUGUGAAGAUGCGGACUACCUGCACCUGGACAGAAAGACCCUAUGAAGCUUUACUGUAACUUGAAAUUGAAAUUGGACUUUAGUCGCGCAGCAUAGGUGGGAGGCGUUGAGCAUGUUCUUGCGGGAACAUAGGAGCCAUCAGUGAGAUACCACUCUUCUAAUGUUAGAUUUCUAACCUUGUACCUUUAUCUGGUCAAGGAACAGUUUCAGGCGGGCAGUUUGACUGGGGCGGUCGCCUCCCAAAUGGUAACGGAGGCGUACAAAGGUUUCCUCUGAACGGAUAGAAAUCGUAUCUAGAGUAUAAAGGCAUAAGGAAGCUUGACUGUGAGACCUACAAGUCGAGCAGGGACGAAAGUCGGUCUUAGUGAUCUGACGGUACUGAGUGGAAAGGCCGUCACUCAACGGAUAAAAGUUACUCUAGGAUAACAGGCUGAUCUCCCCCAAGAGUUCACAUCGACGGGGAGGUUUGGCACCUCGAUGUCGGCUCAUCGCAUCCUGGGGCGGUAGUACGUCCCAAGGGUUGGGCUGUUCGCCCAUGAAAGCGGUACGCGAGCUGGGUUCAGAACGUCGUGAGACAGUUCGGUCCAUAUCCGGUGUAGGCGUUAGAAUAUUGAGAGGAGCCUUCUUUAGUACGAGAGGACCGAGAAGGACAUACCUCUGGUGUACCAGUUAUCGUGCCAACGGUAAACGCUGGGUAGCUACGUAUGGAGUGGAUAACCGCUGAAAGCAUCUAAGUGGGAAGCCCACCUCAAGAUGAGUAUUCUC